GGAGCACAUUUAGUUCCAAACACAAAGAGUUAAACUUAGAAAUGGAAGUAUGGUUUUUCGAGAAAUUGAAGCACAUCUAAUUUUGACACAUCGAAAACAUCGAGGUUGGUACGUGCGUACGUGCACAUUGUUGUUGUAUACAUCAUGUAAUCGAAAGGUUGUGUGAUGUCAUCAAAGGGAGGAUGUUUUAAUUUAGGGGAGGUAUCAGGACAAAUACGAAAAUAUAGUAUGUUAAUUAAGGAAGGAGGGAUUAAAAGUAUACAUACAUUGAGUAUAAUGUGGAAAUUUCUAGAAAUAUUUAAAUUUGGAAGAGGAGGCGACAUGGGGCGUCUGAGGUAUAAGAAGAAGGGAAUUUUUGGGGUUUUUUUAGACCAGCUGCUCUCUUCAGAAAUGCAUGUGAUUGACUGCAUCUCUGAAUAAAGAAACCUGCUUCUUCUCAUCUGCUGACUGAGAUCUCCUUCAUUUCGGCUGAGUAUUUGAUUAUUUGAUAGUUUAUUCAGUUCAUUUGGUACGAUUGUUGAAAAUAACUGAAAAUUGGUACUGUUAAAGAUUCUACCCUGUGAUAUGUCCACUCGGAGGGGACUCUGAGUUCCGACAUAUUUAUUGGUGCCGAAACCCAGGAAAUCUUGCAUGGGAAGGCUGACGUGAGUCCGAAACCUGAGCUAGGACCGCGACUACUGCAGGCUACAGAUUGCCGGCACUAAAACUGAAAGACUGCUUGACAGAAGAGAACUGACCAGGACACCUUGCUGCAAAGAGUGGACCUUCAGAUCAGUGUGGCAAAGCAUUCACUGCCAAAAGCUAGAGGACUCCCAUCAGCUCCUGUGGAACAAGGACAUGGUGUCAUUUUUGACAACGUAUACGUGCAAGAAUUGAGUCUUCCACUGCACACACAGAUAUAGCUGCACCUAGCACCAGCUCAGCUCAUGUGGCCUUGCCUGGCCACUUCAUAGCCUGGGGACCAGCACGAUCCCUGGGCUGGGUUUUCAAAGCAGAGUCUCAGUCUCAGGGUUCGUCAUCUUUUCCACCUGGUCAUCACUGAUCAGCUCCAGUAUAACAAUCUCAGGGUUUUACAUCAUUUCUGCCAGGUCCAGAUCCAGAAUCGCAGACUCAAAUCCAACAACAUGCAGGGAGAUGGCGAAAGGCAGAGCUUGAGGAUAAAAGAGCAUGUGGCAAGAGGGGAGCCACCAAAGAAGCGGCACUUAAAAGAAGGCUACUACUAAAAAAAAGAGUCACGUGUUUUAAUCUUUCAGUUUUAUGAAAUUUUAUAUUAAGUAAAAAGAUAUUCUCCUUAAGAAAACAGAAUUUUACUGGUAUGUCUCUUGAUUUGGGGAAAAUAAGAUGAAAUAGAUCUGAGUGUUGACCUUUCAGUAAUUUGUUUUAGUGAAAACAAGUAGAAAAGUGAAGAAAACAUCUUCCUCUUUCCCCUCUCCCAUAAUACAGUUUUGUCCUGACUAUUUUAGUGAAUUGAAUAAAUGAGUAUUAUGCAGUGAGUUGUUUUGCUGUUAAUAAAGCAUUGCAUGUUUUUUUUGUAUAUCUUCAUUUACUUCUCAGUCACUUUUCAGUCUUCACAACGAACCUGAGUGCAUGUUUGAUAGUUGUGUAAGGGCUCCCUGUGCCUAACAGGGUGGCUUAGUCGGCUUAGUUGCUUUAUGAAAUCUUUUAUUCCUGGUUAGCCAGCUCUGUCAUAAUUUGGCGUAGCUGGUUUUAAUUGAUCUGCUAACUUUGUAAUUUGUAUUAUUGGUUUUGACCGCUUGGCCACAUAUAUUGUAUGAGUAGUGUGUUAAACCGUAACACUGUGAUGCUACUUUUGAUUACUGGGGAAAAGGAACGAUGUUGACUGUGACUUCAGGCCCCCCUCAGUCCGUCUUUCCACUUUGGCACUGCGCCUCGUCCUCGAACGGUUUAAUCACUCUUGCCUGUGUCACUCGGGAUUUGGCCUCCGCCGACGGACUGACCUUCAGCUGGACAGAUGCGAGCGGGAACGCGCUGACUGACGUCGUGCAAUACCCGGCGGUGCGUGCGACCGGGGGUUUCGCCUCCGUGAGCCGCGUGCGCGUCAAUGCCAGCGACUGGGACCAGAAGAAGACGUACACGUGCACAGCCCAAAACGGCGCAGGACUCAAAGAAGCGACCUUGCAAAAGCCAGAGGUGGCCGAGCUCUCUGCAUCUCUGCUUCUAUUGGCUCCAACCCAAAAAGAUAUAGACAACGGAACAGCUACCUUUGUCUGUUUAGCAACACAAUUUUUUCCUAAAAAACAUGAAUUUAAGUGGAGUCAUGAAAAGAAGGACCUCAACAACACUGUCAAAGCCACCAUGUUAAGCAAGGACAAAGGAGUUUACACUGCUGUAAGUGUUUUAGUGAUGAACAGCAGUGACUGGUUGGGCUCAUCUUUUCCAGUUAAGUGCGAAUUCAAGCAGGAGAAAAAGACUGUGUCUAAAGAGGCGAGUUAUGUGUCUCUUGACACACACCAGCCAGAGGUACACAUAACCCCGCCUUCCACCAGGGACAUGCUGAUCAAAAGAAGUGGUGAUCUUGUGUGCACAGCUGCUGGAGAGCAUGGCUUCAAGGAAAUUAAAUGGCUUAGUGGCAAUAAAGAGCUCCCUUCAGUAAAGGAUUCAAACCUACAUAUGAAAACCACAAUCAAAGCCACCAUCAAAAUCAGUUACACUGAGUGGAGCAGUGGCUCCACAUUCACCUGUCAGGUGUACCAUAAUUCAUUCCCCCUAGAGUUUAAAAAUUUUAACUUCAAAAGAGAAGAAGGCAACAAGGUCUGCCCCAAGGUUUACUUGCUCCCUCCACCAGAGAUUUCAGAUGAACUGGUGACCCUGACUUGCUAUGUAAAAGACUUCUACCCUAAGGAGGUGGCUGUGUCUUGGCUUGUUGAUGAUAAACAGGUGGAAAAUGUGAACGGCUGUGUGCAGAACACCACUAACGUUAUUGAGAAAACCAACCUCUUUUCAGCAUACAGCCAGCUUAUUGUCAAAGCUGCAGACUGGAAAAGAGGCGCUGUUUUCACCUGCAGGGUUUAUCAUGAGUCCAUCAAGGACUCUGUACGCCUCAUAUCCAGAUGCAUCAGUAGCAGUUCAAACCCACCCAGCAUAAUGAAUUUUAGUCUGAAUGUGCCCUCAGUCUGCAACAAGAAGUAAUAGACAUUGUCUUGUCUGCUAUUAAUGUUUGUUUUAUUUUAAUCUUUUGCCCCGUCUUCAAUGUCUUUUUUUUUUUUUUAACUAAUGCAAUGUCAUUGUCUUGAAGUCUGUCUGAUGCUUGUGUGUCCUUGUUUUCUGGAAUAUGUCUGAUGCAAUAUUACACUAAAACAAUGACAAUAAAAUAAUCCUUCAGCAUGUACCCUGUGCAGUACAGAAAUAUUAUAUUAUUAUUUUACACUAACUUUAUACAGCACUAUAUUGCUAUAUCUAAA